CAGGCCUAACACAUGCAAGUCGAACGCACCUUCGGGUGAGUGGCAGACGGGUGAGUAACACGUGGGAACGUGCCCUUCGGUUCGGAAUAACUCAGGGAAACUUGAGCUAAUACCGGAUACGCCCUUUGGGGGAAAGGUUUACUGCCGAAGGAUCGGCCCGCGUCUGAUUAGCUAGUUGGUGGGGUAAUGGCCUACCAAGGCUUCGAUCGGUAGCUGGUCUGAGAGGAUGACCAGCCGCAUUGGGACUGAGACACGGCCCAAACUCCUACGGGAGGCAGCAGUGGGGAAUAUUGGACAAUGGGCGCAAGCCUGAUCCAGCCAUGCCGCGUGAGUGAUGACGGCCUUAGGGUUGUAAAGCUCUUUUACCUGGGAAGAUCACGACGGUAUCAGGAGAAUAAGCCCCGGCUAUCUUCGUGCCAGCAGCCGCGGUAAU
rnacentral:rRNA from 1 species